GAUGAACGCUGGCGGCGUGCCUAAUACAUGCAAGUCGAGCGAACAGACGAGGAGCUUGCUCCUCUGACGUUAGCGGCGGACGGGUGAGUAACACGUGGAUAACCUACCUAUAAGACUGGGAUAACUUCGGGAAACCGGAGCUAAUACCGGAUAAUAUAUUGAACCGCAUGGUUCAAUAGUGAAAGACGGUUUUGCUGUCACUUAUAGAUGGAUACGCGCCGGAUUAGCUAGUUGGUAAGGUAACGGCUUACCAAGGCGACGAUGCGUAGCCGACCUGAGAGGGUGAUCAGCCACACUGGAACUGAGACACGGCCCAGACUCCUACGGGAGGCAGCAGUAGGGAAUGGUCCGCAAUGGGCGAAAGCCUGACGGAGCAACGCCGCGUGAGUGAUGAAGGUCUUCGGAUCGUAAAACUCUGUUAUUAGGGAAGAACAAAUGUGUAAGUAACUAUGCACGUCUGGACGGUACCUAAUCAGAAAGCCACGGCUAACUACGU
rnacentral:rRNA from 1 species